GUCUCUGUAGUGUAAUGGUUAUCACAUUUGCGUCACACACAAAAGGUCUCUGGUUCAAAACCAGACACAAACA
rnacentral:tRNA from 1 species